rnacentral:rRNA from 1 species
GAUGAACGCUGGCGGCAUGCCUUACACAUGCAAGUCGAACGGCAGCGGACCUUCGGGUGCCGGCGAGUGGCGAACGGGUGAGUAAUAUAUCGGAACGUACCUUUCAGUGGGGGAUAACGUAGCGAAAGUUACGCUAAUACCGCAUAUUCUGUGAGCAGGAAAGCAGGGGAUCGCAAGGCCUUGCGCUGAUUGAGCGGCCGAUAUCAGAUUAGCUAGUUGGUGAGGUAAAGGCUCACCAAGGCGACGAUCUGUAGCGGGUCUGAGAGGAUGAUCCGCCACACUGGAACUGAGACACGGUCCAGACUCCUACGGGAGGCAGCAGUGGGGAAUUUUGGUACAAUGGGCGGCAAGCCUGAUCCAGCCAUGCCGCGUGAGUGAAGAAGGCC